GAUGAACGCUAGCGGCAGGCCUAACACAUGCAAGUCGAGGGAGAAGCCCUUUCGGGGGCAGAAACCGGCGCACGGGUGCGUAACGCGUAUGCAACCUACCUUUCAAAGGGGGAUAGCCCGAAGAAAUUUGGAUUAAUACCCCAUAAUAUUAUUGGAUGGCAUCAUUUGAUAAUUAAAACUGCGGUGGUGAAAGAUGGGCAUGCGUCCUAUUAGCUAGUUGGAGUGGUAACGGCACCCCAAGGCUACGAUAGGUAGGGGUCCUGAGAGGGAGAUCCCCCACACUGGUACUGAGACAGGGACCAGACUCCUACGGGAGGCAGCAGUGCGGAAUAUUGGUCAAUGGUCGGAAGACUGAACCAGCCAUGCCGCGUGCAGGAAGAAUGCCUUAUGGGUUGUAAACUGCUUUUAUAUGGGAAGAAUAAGGCGUACGUGUACGUUGAUGACGGUACCAUAUGAAUAAGCAUCGGCUAACUCCGUG
rnacentral:rRNA from 1 species